rnacentral:rRNA from 1 species
AUUGAACGCUGGCGGCAGGCCUAACACAUGCAAGUCGAACGGUAACAGGAAGCAGCUUGCUGCUUCGCUGACGAGUGGCGGACGGGUGAGUAAUGUCUGGGAAACUGCCUGAUGGAGGGGGAUAACUACUGGGAACGGUAGCUAAUACCGCAUAACGUCGCAAGACCAAAGAGGGGGACCUUAGGGCCUCUUGCCAUCGGAUGUGCCCAGAUGGGAUUAGCUAGUAGGUGGGGUAACGGCUCACCUAGGCGACGAUCCCUAGCUGGUCUGAGAGGAUGACCAGCCACACUGGAACUGAGACACGGUCCAGACUCCUACGGGAGGCAGCAGUGGGGAAUAUUGCACAAUGGACGCAAGCCUGAUGCAGCCAUGCCGCGUGUAUGAAGAAGGCCUUCGGGUUGUAAAGUACUUUCAGCGGGGAGGAAGGGAGUAAAGUUAAUACCUUUGCUCAUUGACGUUACCCGCAGAAGAAGCACCGGCUAACUCCGUG